rnacentral:rRNA from 1 species
GACGAACGCUGGCGGCGUGCUUAACACAUGCAAGUCGAACGGAAAGGCCCUGCUUUUGUGGGGUGCUCGAGUGGCGAACGGGUGAGUAACACGUGAGUAACCUGCCCUUGACUUUGGGAUAACUUCAGGAAACUGGGGCUAAUACCGGAUAGGAGCUCCUGCUGCAUGGUGGGGGUUGGAAAGUUUCGGCGGUUGGGGAUGGACUCGCGGCUUAUCAGCUUGUUGGUGGGGUAGUGGCUUACCAAGGCUUUGACGGGUAGCCGGCCUGAGAGGGUGACCGGCCACAUUGGGACUGAGAUACGGCCCAGACUCCUACGGGAGGCAGCAGUGGGGAAUAUUGCACAAUGGGCGGAAGCCUGAUGCAGCAACGCCGCGUGCGGGAUGACGGCCUUCGGGUUGUAAACCGCUUUCGCCUGUGACGAAGCGUGAGUGACGGUAAUGGGUAAAGAAGCACCGGCUAACUACGUGCCAGCAGCCGCGGUGAUACGUAGGGUGCGAGCGUUGUCCGGAUUUAUUGGGCGUAAAGGGCUCGUAGGUGGUUGAUCGCGUCGGAAGUGUAAUCUUGGGGCUUAACCCUGAGCGUGCUUUCGAUACGGGUUGACUUGAGGAAGGUAGGGGAGAAUGGAAUUCCUGGUGGAGCGGUGGAAUGCGCAGAUAUCAGGAGGAACACCAGUGGCGAAGGCGGUUCUCUGGGCCUUUCCUGACGCUGAGGAGCGAAAGCGUGGGGAGCGAACAGGCUUAGAUACCCUGGUAGUCCACGCUGUAAACGGUGGGUACUAGGUGUGGGGUCCAUUCCACGGGUUCCGUGCCGUAGCUAACGCUUUAAGUACCCCGCCUGGGGAGUACGGCCGCAAGGCUAAAACUCAAAGGAAUUGACGGGGCCCCGCACAAGCGGCGGAGCAUGCGGAUUAAUUCGAUGCAACGCGUAGAACCUUACCUGGGUUUGACAUGGAUCGGGAGUGCUCAGAGAUGGGUGUGCCUCUUAUGGGGUCGGUUCACAGGUGGUGCAUGGCUGUCGUCAGCUCGUGUCGUGAGAUGUUGGGUUAAGUCCCGCAACGAGCGCAACCCUUGUUCACUGUUGCCAGCACGUUAUGGUGGGGACUCAGUGGAGACCGCCGGGGUCAACUCGGAGGAAGGUGGGGAUGACGUCAAGUCAUCAUGCCCCUUAUGUCCAGGGCUUCACGCAUGCUACAAUGGCUGGUACAGAGAGUGGCGAGCCUGUGAGGGUGAGCGAAUCUCGGAAAGCCGGUCUCAGUUCGGAUUGGGGUCUGCAACUCGACCUCAUGAAGUCGGAGUCGCUAGUAAUCGCAGAUCAGCAACGCUGCGGUGAAUACGUUCCCGGG